UGCGUAGGAGGGUAGGUAAGUCAGUGGUGAAAUCUUCGAGCUUAACUCGGAAACUGCCGUUGAUACUAUCUAUCUUGAAUACCGUGGAGGUGAGCGGAAUAUGUCAUGUAGCGGUGAAAUGCUUAGAUAUGACAUAGAACACCAAUUGCGAAGGCAGCUCGCUACACGAAUAUUGACUCUGAGGCACGAAAGCGUGGGGAUCAAACA
rnacentral:rRNA from 1 species